rnacentral:rRNA from 1 species
AUUGAACGCUGGCGGCAGGCCUAACACAUGCAAGUCGAGCGAACCUAGCUUGCUAGGUGAGCGGCGAACGGGUGAGUAACGCGUAGGAAUCUGCCUGGUAGUGGGGGACAACGUUCCGAAAGGAACGCUAAUACCGCAUACGCCCUACGGGGGAAAGCAGGGGAUCUUCGGACCUUGCGCUAUCAGAUGAGCCUGCGUCGGAUUAGCUAGUUGGUGGGGUAAAGGCCUACCAAGGCGACGAUCCGUAACUGGUCUGAGAGGAUGAUCAGUCACGCCGGAACUGAGACACGGUCCGGACUCCUACGGGAGGCAGCAGUGGGGAAUAUUGGACAAUGGGGGCAACCCUGAUCCAGCCAUGCCGCGUGUGUGAAGAAGGCCUUCGGGUUGUAAAGCACUUUAGGUCGGGAGGAAGGUUCGCUGGCUAAUAUCCAGCGGAAUUGACGUUACCGACAGAAUAAGCACCGGCUAACUCCGUGCCAGCAGCCGCGGUAAUACGGAGGGUGCGAGCGUUAAUCGGAAUUACUGGGCGUAAAGCGCGCGUAGGCGGCUUGAUAAAUCGGGUGUGAAAUCCCUGGGCUUAACCUGGGAACUGCAUCCGACACUGUCAGGCUAGAGUGUGGGAGAGGGUGACGGAAUUCCCGGUGUAGCGGUGAAAUGCGUAGAUAUCGGGAGGAACAUCAGUGGCGAACGCGGUUGCCUGGCCCAACACUGACGCUGAGGUGCGAAAGCGUGGGUAGCAAACCGGAUUAGAUACCCUGGUAGUCCACGCCGUAAACGAUGUCGACUAGCCGUUGGGAACUUAGAGUUUCCUUGUGGCGCAGCUAACGCGAUAAGUCGACCGCUGGGGAGUACGGCCGCAAGGUUAAAACUCAAAUGAAUUGACGGGGGCCCGCACAAGCGGUGGAGCAUGUGGUUUAAUUCGAUGCAACGCGAAGAACCUUACCACCCCUUGACAUCCUGCGAACUUUCUAGAGAUAGAUUGGUGCCUUCGGGAGCGCAGAGACAGGUGCUGCAUGGCUGUCGUCAGCUCGUGUUGUGAAAUGUUGGGUUAAGUCCCGUAACGAGCGCAACCCUUGUCCUUAGUUGCCAGCGAGUAAUGUCGGGAACUCUAAGGAGACUGCCGGUGACAAACCGGAGGAAGGUGGGGACGACGUCAAGUCAUCAUGGCCCUUACGGGGUGGGCUACACACGUGCUACAAUGGCCGGUACAGACGGUUGCAAACCCGCGAGGGGGAGCCAAUCCGAGAAAACCGGUCGUAGUCCGGAUUGCAGUCUGCAACUCGACUGCAUGAAGUCGGAAUCGCUAGUAAUCGCGGAUCAGAAUGCCGCGGUGAAUACGUUCCCGGGCCUUGUACACACCGCCC